UACGUAGGGUGCAAGCGUUAAUCGGAAUUACUGGGCUUAAAGGGCGCGUAGGCGGGCUAUCAAGUCCGGGGUGAAAUCCUCCAGCUUAACUGGAGAACGGCCUCGGAUACUGAUGGUCUCGAGGAAGAUAGGGGCACGCGGAACUGUGGGUGGAGCGGUGAAAUGCGUUGAUAUCCAUAGGAACUCCGGUGGCGAAGGCGGCGUGCUGGAUCUUUUCUGACGCUGAGGCGCGAAAGCCAGGGGAGCAAACGGG
rnacentral:rRNA from 1 species